GGAAGUAAAAGUCGUAACAAGUUCUCCGUUGGUGAACCAGCGGAGGGAUCAUUACUGGAAUCGCAAGAUCCCACAACCCUGUGAACCUACCGAAACGUUGCCUCGGCGGGUGCCCGGCCCCCGCGCCGGGCGCUGCGCCCGCCGGCGGCCCCCUACUCUGUCUCUGCAGCGUGGCAUCUCAGAGUCCCAGAAAACAAGUCAAAACUUUCAACAACGGAUCUCUUGGCUCUA
rnacentral:misc_RNA from 1 species